CGAGCCGGUCAGACGAUCGCGGCGCCGCAGGCGGCACCGAGGAAAGUCCGGACUCCACAGAGCAGGGUGGUGGGCAACACCCACCCGGGGCGACCCGCGGGACAGUGCCACAGAAAACAGACCGCCUCCCUCUCCGGUCCGCCGGCGAGGAGGUAAGGGUGAAACGGUGGUGUAAGAGACCACCAGCACCCCAGGUGACUGGGGUGGCUCGGUAAACCCCACCCGGAGCAAGAUCAAGAGGAUGCGCCCGCGGGCGCAUCUGCGGAGACGCCCGAGGGCUGCUCGCCCGAGUCUCCGGGUAGAUCGCACCAGGCCGCUGGCAACAGCGGUCGCAGAUGGAUGAUCGUCGCUCACCGUACGGUGAGAACAGAAUCCGGCUUACCGACCGGCUCGUCCC
rnacentral:RNase_P_RNA from 1 species